rnacentral:lncRNA from 1 species
AUGGCAACCCCCAGUGACACCACAUCCCAUCGCCUGGACAUCUUUUUUUUUUAUUUAAUUAAUUUAUUUGAAAGGCAGAACUACAGAGAGGCAGAGGCAGAGAGACAGGGAGAGGUCUUCCAUUCACUGGUUCAUUCUCCAAAUGGUUGCAACAUCUGGAGCUGGGCUGAUCUGAAGCCAAGAGCUUCUUCAGGGUCUCCCACCUGGGUACAGGGGCCCAAGCACUUGGGCUGUCUUCUACUGCUUUCCCAGACCAUAAGCAGAGAGCUGGAUCAGAAGAGGAGCAGCUGGGACAUGAAAUGGCACCCAUAUGCGAUGCCAGCACUGCAGGCGGUUCUGCCUGCUACACCACAGCACCAGACCCCUCACUGGGACAUGUUAAGGCACAGACUUUGCAAGGGGGCCAUUCAGACUGAAAGCCAGGCCUGGGCUCUAACUUGUGCUCGGGGCCCAGGGACACAGGGAAGGCUGUGUGCUGAGAGACAAGUGACAAAGCAGCCACUAUCAGGGAGCCCGGAACUUAGUCCCAGAGGCUGUAGAGGCAGAGAAAGGCCACGCUCAGGGCCUUGGCCACCCACUGCUGGUUUUCUUCCCUUCCUCUUCUGGCUGAACCCACCUGCAGAGGAUUCUGUUUCAAUAACAAACACCCGUUGGAGCAGCGCUGGAGUUGCUACUGUCAGGGGCUUUGUUUGUAAGCUGCUGGGCCCAGCAGAGGUCAGCUGCUGUUCUGGCCCCAGGCAUGGGCUGCAGAACUCUGCAAGUGUUGAGGUCAUGAGAGCAUGCCUCUGGUUCUCCCCCGGUCGGGGGCAACUUGUCAGAGCUGAUUACACCAGCACAGGUCAACUGGAGACAGAGGAUCACAGAGGAUCACUUCUGUGUCCAGUGCUGCCCACAGGGUCUGUGCCGUCAGAGUGUCCCUGUGGUGUCAGGGGACGCCUACCCUGUGAAGCCGCACAACUGGAACUUCCCAAGGCCUGUGCGCCACUGCCAGCCCAGGGUCGGGCCCUGAGAGGAAAGGCCAGUAAACAAUUGUGGCGCAGCAGCCUGGGUAUCAGCACGGAUUUGAAGCAGAGAUUCUUUCAUAGGUCUGGUAUUAAGGCAAAAUAA